rnacentral:lncRNA from 1 species
AUUGGUGGUAGCUGGAUUGCAAAUCUAUGUUCGAGUACACACACGACCCUUGCAACUGAUCGAACAAGUCAUCGAUUCGGGGUAGUGGGUACUUUUUCUUGAUCGUGACUCUGUUCAAUUCCCGAUAGUCUACGCAGAGUCGGAACAAUCCGUCUUUCUUCCUCACGAACAACACCGGGGCUCCCCACGGUGAUACACUUGGCCGGAUAAAUUGCUUGUCGAGGAGAUCUUGCAGUUGACUCCUUAACUCCUUCAAUUCCGCCGGCGCCAUUCGAUACGGAGCCUUCGAGAUCGGUGCGGUACCGGGAACCAAGUCUAUGACGAACUCGAUCUCCCGAUCCGGUGGUAUCCCCGGCAACUCCGCAGAAACACAUCCGGAAACUCUCGCACCUCCAAUAACUCCUCUAAUGUUGGAGCUACUCGAUCCACCUCCACAACGGUCGCCAAGAACGCCGCACAACCGUUGCUCACCAACUUUCUUGCUCUUGUCGCAGACACCGUCGCGAUGAAGCACGAGCUCUGACAAGCCCGAUAGGUGAAUUCUUCUUGUCCUGGCUCACGGAAGGUGAUCACCCUGCUCUUGCAGUCGAUCGUUGCGUGAUAUUUCGAGAGCUAGUCCAUAUCCAGAAUGACGUCAUAAGCCUCAAGCUUUGUGAGUUCCAGUGUCCGGAUAGGCAUAAUCCAGUCGCCUAUUUGUACGGGACACGACGCACACUCCGAGCAGGUGUUAAAUGUUGACCCAGGGCCCUCCACUCGCCACUUGUCACUCGCCUCUAUGAGUAUGCCAUGCAUGCGUGCGAAUGAUCUACUUAUGAAUGAAUGCGUGGCUCCUGUAUCAAAUAGAGCCCUGGCGCGAACUACGUUAAUUAAAACCAUACCUGCCACAAGGCGAUGCUCCUCCGCCUCCGCAGGUUCCUCAGCCUGGACCUGAGCGGCGAACACCCGUCCGCUCGGGGCCGAUCGCGUCGCUUCAUGUUGACGCGGCAUCAUCGCGCGUCCCGUCGACGCAGCUGUCGGUGGAGCUCCUCCAUAGUGAGCCGGAAUCGCCGGCGCCGAUGCAAUCGAUGGGGCAGGUGAGGCUCCUCCUCUCGGGCAGUCCCGAAUGAAGUCCCGGUUGCCCACACUUAUAGCACUUGCCUCGGCCUUGCUCACAGCGCGAGACUGGGUGGUCUCUGCAGCAUACAAUGCAUCGCCGUGCUCCACUGCCCUUCUGUUGAGUGUGCGGAUACUUCAGGGGUUUCUUAUAGAGUGUUUGUCCCCCCGAACUACCGCAGCCUUGGCGUUUCUUGCCCUUGUCCUUAGACUCGGCCAAAGCCUCGCGCUUCUCCCGAACGUGGACAUCUCCGUGCUCCGCCCAUAGUGCUCGAUCAAAGACCUCCGCAAACGUCGUGAGCUUGAGUAUUUGCACGGCCUUGUAAAUUCCCGACCGAAGUCCUCACAAGAACCACUCGGCCUGGUCCCGGUCAUCCUUUACAACAUCCGGGACACAAUCGAUAAUACGGGAGAAUUCUUGUUCGUACUCCGCCACUGAGCGGUCCCCUUGCUCUAGCUUGCGGAACUUCUCCUUGAGCUUCCGCUUCAAUGUAUCGGGGAAAUAGUUGGCGAACAUCUCCCUCUUGAAUUCCUCCCACAGCAUCGGCGGAAGGCCGGGAAGCCAAUCCCGUUUGACGCGUUUCCACCAAACUUUCGCCGCCUUUUCCAAGCAGUGGGUGGCGAGAUACACCUUGUCCCUCUCCAAGGUACGCAAGUCGUCGAAGAGGGUUUCCAUCGAGUCGAUCCAAGACUCGACCAUCUCCGGUUCCACCUUCUCUCCCUCAAAGGUUGGCGAAUGGAACUUGUUGAACUUGAUAAGAGCCGCUAAUGCGCGCUCUCCUUCCACGUCUUCGGCGGACACGUCGGGUGUAGCCGAUCCCGAUGCCGCCGGUGGUACGAUCGCUGGCGGUGGGCGUGCCGUCACCGGAACCGCCGCUAUGCCCUCACCCUCUGCCGCUCCGGGUAUAUGAGUCGUGGGUGCGGGCGGACCACUGCCCUCAUUCGCCGUCGGAGCCACCGCCGCGAUCUGCCGCUCCAAUAGAUCCUGGAGCCGCUCAAAUCGGGUCUGCUGGCGCUGCACUACAUUGGUCAGCGCGGUCACUUGCGCUUGCAACCGAUCGAUCACGCUCGGUUCUUCCUGCUCGGGCACCUCAGGAAUCGAUGCUCGGGCAGAUCUACGCGUGUAGCGUCUUGGAGACAUUAGUCCCUGAAACGCAAAUACUUGGUUAGUCAUCUUAACCAAUUACCUCGUCGCAAUUACGACACAUGACGACUCAACCACAAAUCGGGCGGAAGCACACAAGCGCACUCGUUCUAGACUCUUGGUAUCAUGUCAUCGGCCGCUGACACAACCACCUCAAGACAAGAACUCCUACAACUUGAGUCCGUCUCUAAUCACAACUAGAGACAUAUUACCAGCUUCGACCCAAUCAAAUUAACUUCCGCCAUCGCUAUAGGUUCACGUUUCGCUCACGCACCUAUAACCUUAGGGCUUACCAACCUAGGGUCUCCUAGGUCGUCCUAGACUCUCCCUUUACCUGCUCUUAUUGCUCUGAUACCACAACUGUUGUCACGCCCCGCCCCGAAACCACUACCAAUUUGGCACGGUUCGGCCGCGGCGGCGGGCCGCCGAACGGACAGCACCUCCCCUGUCCGCCCAAGGCUCAACGACAGGAAUGUGUACAAGAAUUUACCCCGGAAUUAAAUUCUAGACAUACACAUUCACAAGGGCACAAACAGUGCCAACAAAACAAAGAGCAAGCAAUCCACAAGAUAAAACAAGUGAAAUAAAGAGAGUACUUCAAGAACUAUUACAUUAGUUCCAUCAUUUCAUUUACAUGAAUACAUUUUUCAUCUUCAAAAUACAUAGCUCUCCGAAUCCUCAUCUACAAUGAUCUCUCUCAAUACAUAGGUGUGCUAAUGCAGAAAAGAACGCUACUAUACUACCACGGUCUCACUGAUCGGGCGCGAUGCCCUUGCCGCGGUCCUCUCUCUGCAGCCCUGAACCUACCACUGGAAAUAGAGUGGGGUGAGAACUAUCUUCCAUAGUUCCCAGUGGGCUCGGCCGCCGACUCUGCCGAUCUCCCCACUAGGUCCAAGUGGGCACAAGUAACAACAGAUAGAUAAAUAGAUAUGUAUCUGAAAGCUGUAAAUGCGAUAGUAGGAAAACUAUGCUACUAUGCCCAUAAUCAUGAAUAUGAAUGCAUGCAUCAUAUAAUAAAGGUUUGCUACCAUGCUAACAAAUUCGAUCCAUGUUCGAAUAGCUAUGUUCAAUGACAUUCUUAAACCUUUAACCUUUCCAUUUACCCAAUUUGUGGCGAGGCCCUAGGGCUCGCCCAUAACUCACCCUUCAAUCCCAAAGUGGGGAGGGAGCUCCAAGUGCACCCAAGCCCGGGACCGUCUGCGGACCUCCAUGUGGUCCGGACCUCCAAGUGGUCCUAGUCGCGCGACACUCCGGAGUACUCGACGACAAUCCCCUCCAUGUGGGGAUUGGAUGGCUAUACCAUCCCAAACGCAGACUGUGAGCUAGAUCUAUCCUCUCCAAGUGAGGAUGCCCUACAUCUAGGGUCAACAACUCAAUCAAGUCCUCUCCAAGUGAGGAUGCUCUACAACUAGAGUCAAUACCCAAUCGAAUCGUCUCCAAGUGAGGAAGCACUAUAACUAGGGUCCACAGCCUAAUCAAAUCCUCUCCAAGUGAGAAAGCCCUAUCACUGGGGUCAAUAUCUCUCGCGGGAUCAUUUGUUCCCGACAUUCAUGCAACGCUAUUUAGGUUAUCUAAAUUCAUUGUUCACCAGUCAUCUUCUAAGGGAUCUACCUAUCCCUAGGUCCAUCGACCUCUAGUGUUGAUUACACUACAUUAAUGCCACUCGUUAUCAUUCAACAUUUGGAUGCCACUCGUUUGUUCUUUGACAAUAACACUGCUUUCUAUGUCAUCAACACCCCCAUCGGGUUCAUCUCUAUCUCUAGCAUCAUAGGAUCUACGUUCCGACCCAAUCCUCACCUGUCUAAGUCACCAAGCGUUUCAAGUACACUAGGUUAUCAUUUAGAAAGCAUAAGGAAGGGAGCUACUAUGCAAUCCUACAAUGCAACAUGGAGAGAUGAGAUUAAAUGCAAUCUAAGACAUAGAAAGGAGUUCGAAAGCUUCGGGAUGGCACCCCCCACCUUUUACCGAUGUUAAGGCUUUAGAAACGGUCCUCGGCGAACGCUACGAAAAGGCUUUAGCCUUCUUUGCUCAAGUCAAUGGUAUCCCGGCCCUAUUUUGCCGAGAACUUCACGCCGGCUUGCCGAAUGCCAAAAUCGACUUCGCCCCCACGUUUUGUGAACCUACCAAUAGGGUUUCCAAGCCUAAUCAAUCUCAUGCAUUCACAAAAACCCCAUUUUGGAGUCCUAGGUUUGCACCUAUAGCAAACCACAAUAAAUCCCCAGAUUUCUUGGGAUUGAUCUAUUUUGAAGCUUAUUUAUGGUCCAUUUGACCCAUUCCAAAGCAUCAAAACCCAAAACUCCAAGGUUUAGAAGCUAGGGUUCAAGUGCCUACCUCUUGUGCUACACCAAAGAGAAGAGGAGAGGGAGAUGAAGUUGCCCAAAGCCUUCUCUUUGAUCUCCUCCCUCUUCUCCUCCUUUUCCUUCCCUUCUUUUCUUUCCUCUCAUUCUUGUUCUUCUCCUUCUCCUUUCCUUUCUAGAGAGAGAGAGAGCUAGAGAGCAAUGGGAGAGAGUAAGGGGGAGAAAAUGAGAGUAUGAGGGAGAGAGACUAAUAAAGGCCAUUUUGCAUUUAGACCCCUCAACUUUUCAUCCAUUGCACAGCCCUCACUGGGCAGUUUUCGCGCGGAGGGACCGGUCCCUGGUCGGGGAGAUCGGUCCCCGAGAGCUCUCCCUGCAGUCUGGGGACUUUUCGCGUUCGGGAACCGGUCUCUUCCCGGGAGACCGGUCCUCGGGAGACCGGUCCUUACCUGAGAGACCGGUCCCCGAGAGCUAAAUUUUCAGGACUUAGCCAAUCUUUGGCAUUUCUCGCUGGGGCAACAUUCAGGAACCGGUCCCUCCCUACCAAGGACCGGUUGCAUCAUGCAACCCCGCAAUACCCAGCCAAGGGAACCGGUCUCUCACCUCCAGAGACCGGUCCCCGAGAGUAACAUCAGCCCAAUGAUGCAAUUUGCACCAUUUGCUCUCGCGGACUCAACUCCAAAGCACUUUUUGUGUUUUGGGCGUUCAUAACUCCCGCAAAGGGUAUCCUCUCGACAAUUAGUCGAUCCUGAAUGAAGUACAAUUCUUGGAUUUCUAGAAUUCACUUCCUUACAGAGUGACCGGACCCCGAGAGCAAUUUCCGUGGGCAGAGGGCUUUGCCCAUUUUCACGCGUACGGGGACCGGUCCCUCCCUGAGGGACCGGUCCCCGAGAGCACAAAAACUGCAGUUGUGCAGAACUUCUCCAGCUUGCUCUCGGAGGCCAUCCUCAAUGCACUUUUGACCUCUUUGAUGCUUUCGUUCUUUCCAAAGCAUACCCGAUCGACAGUCAGUUGAUUCCAAUCGAAGUUCAACUCCCGUAUUUCGAGAAUUCACUUCCUUACACGACGGGUUAGCCACGAGAUUGAAUAGUGUAAAGCAAACUUGCAUUCAUCAUAAGCAUUCUAUUUGAGCAUAGGAUUGUAUAUAUUGUUCAGGCAUAUUAGCUGCAUUUGUUAGUUGGCUACUAUCUAUUCUUUCUUCUAUUAUGCCUGAUUUAGACCUAGUGGGAAAGUCGGCGAGGUCGGCGGCCGAACCCACUGGAAACUUUGUUGUAGUUCUCACCCCACUAUUUCCAUAGAGCCAGGGCCGAGCGAGCCGACGGAUGAUCGCGGUAAAGGUAUCGCGCCAUAGCUAGAGACCACCCGAGUUGGUUUCACAUUUUGGUUUAGUUGCAUACCCUUAUACAUCAUCUUUUUUUAUUUUGAUGAUUUUAGUUUUAUCAAAAUGUUAAAUGAACGAUGUAAAAGAAUAUCAUAGUUAAUUGCAAAUGGUUAUAUUUUGAGGAAUAUGUGAUGUACAAAAGAAAUGAUACAAAGAAUGUAAUGGAAGUUUAUUAAAGUUGAAUGCAUGUAUGUGAUUUAAAUUUAAUCAUAUUACUUGUAUAUUGAUUAGACAGUACUUUCACUUUGGCUACUGCUUGCCCUCGUGCAAGCCAUUAUGUUUGCUUCAGCAUGUGCAAAUUUUAUACUCUAUUUGUACUUAUUGUUGAGCCUUGGACGGACAGGGGAGGUUGUAACACACUGGACCUUUGCAAAUUGCGAGGUUCGAGUGUUUGGAUUGUGUCCUGAGCUUUUCCAGAUUUUCUGGGUGGGUCGUUGACAGUGUUCCGACCUAUGGUUCGAAUCCGAGAUAUUGUAGUAUUUUAUGUAACGCUAAGGUCACUAAGAGUUGGACUUAGCCUACCCUCGGAUUGCAUUCUGCACGAGGUAACGGUGACAGGUCGAUGGCUGUACCGGUACACAUUUGUACCAGUACACUUCUGAUGGUUGUACCGUACACUUGCGGCCAAAUUCGAACGAGCUCGGGUUGCCAUUUUCGUAGGAUGUGUACCGGUACACUUUCCCGGUACCCGUACACUUUGGGCAGUUUUCGAAACAGUUCGAUGCAGGGUGUUUUUGCAUUGUUACAACUCUAUAACAUACCCCACGCCCCCUUGGAGUUCCCUGGCUUGGAGGCAGGGAGAGCAAGGUAAGGGAGCUCUCUUUUCUCCCUCUUUGCUUCCCUUUGAUUAUGUUGGGUUUUUGAAGAUUAAACUCUCCUUUUGCUCUCUUUUUGCAUUUUGUGUGCUUCCUCCAUGGGAGAAGUUUGGCUUGUGUUUGGAGCUUGUUAGAUGGGUAGGGGCUCAACCCUAGCUAUUUCUAGGGUGUUGGAGCUUCUCUUGAGGUUAGUUGCUUACUUAAUUUCCUUUUGAUCAUGAUUUUUGUAUACAAACCCUAGAAAUGGGUAUUUAGGGUUUGUUUUGGAUUUUUGAUUAGAGGCUUUUGAAGCCCAAUUGAUUGGAUUAGAACCUUAUAAUCUAGGUUGAUUGGAGGGAUUUAGCUUUUUUGGAGCUUGUGAAGGAUUUUCACCAUCAUAGGUGAGUUUUGGCCCUUUCUUUGAGUUGGUUAAAGUUUAACCUAUUCGUUGUUCGUAAUCCUGUGUAUCCCUUCGCUCAUUACUUUUAGGGUAUUUUGAGACUCGUGGACAACUCCGUUCGGCAAAACGAGGGACUACACGACGGUUCGAUGGGUUUGGCCUAGCCACACAAUGAGAAAAUCUCAUUGUUGAUGGUUUAAAUGUUGUAAAUUAAAGCAUGCAUAUUUGUGUUAGAUGCAUUAUUUGUGAAUUUUAGGAUGCUUAAAAGCACAUGUUAUAUACAAUGCAUAUUUGAUCUCUAUAUAGUAGAAGUUUUCAUGUUGGCUAGGGGCCUACGGUUAGCAUUCUUAAUUGAUUUGAGAUCAUGUGCGAUCAUUACAUAUGGCAUAUAGAUUACACUCUUGGACUUAGAACGCAUGAUUGACGUGGUUGGACAUAUCACAUUAAGUGACAUAGGCUAAAGUGUAUAAAAUAGUAAGCUAAUGUCAUAAAGCGCAUUAGGCUUGGACUAGAUAUGAGUUUAGCAAGCUAAUGUCAUAAAGCGGCAUUAGACUUGAUGGAUAUGCAAAUUGCAUGUGCAUGCUAUUAUUAUGAGAAUAUGCCAAGUUAAUAGUCGCAUUGGAAAGACACAUGUCGCAUAUGAGAACACGCUAGAGAGCAUGUAUAUUAAUCUAUUAUUGAUAGAACAAGCUAACGUCUUAAAGAGACAUAGAAUGUCAAUUGAGCUUAGAUUAUAGCGAUGUUUAAGUGUCAUAAAGAGGCACUAAACAUAGUGAAUGUGGGAACUUCACUUGAGUUUUGGACUUAGUAAAGCUAAGGUCAUUGACAUUGAAUUAUCGAACGGUUAAACCUUCACUUGAGGCAUAGACUAGACACUGGGGUUGCUAGUGUGCAUUUCCAUGUUAGAGACAUGAUGACUGUUGAGUUGCAUUUCCAUGUUGGAGACAUGACGAUUGGACUAUUGAGAUUUUGACCAUGCUUGCUUGCCAUUUGUGCUCAUUCGCACAUGCUUGUGAGGAUCGCUCCCCACAAGCCGGCACUCCGGAGUUAGCCUACGCGACUUAUGUUCGCCCGUGCGGUAUCGAGUAGCCUACGGGGCCUGGAGGGAUAGACUCAUUCCUAGAGUGGGAAUGCUGGAGCUACCACUGGCACUUAAGCGGCACAAGCCGGACUACACCCGUGUAGAUCCUGAAUGAGAUUGAACCAGAAUACUAAACAACAAUUGACAAUCACUACUAGAUAGGUUAUAGUAGCUGGAUUUUCUUGACAUGCUAUGGGAUAGGGUUGGACUUUUGGGAUAUUUAGUGUACUUGACAUUAUCGCUUAUUGCAUUGUAGUACACCUUGCUGCCAGGAUAGUACAUACUAGAUAUGUAGUGGGCUCUGGAAUAUAUAUAUCACACUUUAUAGCAUUACUUGUUGCAUCAUGAUACAUUGUUUAAGUUUUGGGCAUAUCGGAUCAUGUAGAGUAGAUGUACUCCAUGUUGACAUUCAGAAUACUUGUGGCAUAGUAGAGUAGCAUUUUAAUUUCAUGCUCCAAUUACUAUUGAUAUUUUCUGUUAUCAUUAUUUGCUCGUUUGGGGCCUAGUGGUGCGAUUUGUUGCAGGUCAGUAAUUGCCCACUGGGAACUAUAAUUUAUAGUUCUCACGCCCCCUGUUUUAUGUUUUCUUUCAGUGCCUUCCACUCCGGGAGGGGCUCGGGAUCGCGGGAAAGGUUUCGCCUCGAGUUAGCUAUCGAGGGUCUUGGCGUUAGGUGGUCCACCUCUCUUUUGUUUUCUUUUGGAGAGGUUGUGAGAGUUUUGUACCUGAUUAUAGAGACCACCCUAUUUUUGUAUCUUGAGACUUAUGAUGUAUCAGUUUACUUUAUGCUUAGUAGUAUGAUUUUCUUUUGAUUCUACCUAAUAUUAGAACCUAGCUAUAUACUUGCUCUGAUAUCUCUAGUUGUAGAUCUUCUCAUGCUUUACUCUUCCGCUUUUGUGUAGACGCCUUAUAUGUGUAGACAUAUGGCGGGUCUGGGCGCGCACCGGGCGGGCCUAUGCCGGGUCCCGGGGCGUGACAGAUUAAUUUGGUAUCAGAGCCUAGGGUUGAGUCUUAGUGGACCUAGCGAACCUUAGGCCGGUUGGACUAUAGGAAUUAGACUCGUGAGAGACGAGGUCUAUUUAACUUAUGAGCGAAAGUAUCAUGAUUGGGUUUUCUUUGAUAACUCCAAAAAGGCUGGAGUUGGAUCGAAGUGUAUGCCUUCUAACUUCGUGGAGGGUUACGUUGGCGGCCGACAACGUAACAUCAGGAGUUAGUAGUUGGGACACUUCUUUACUUUCGCACGAUUUGGGGUGUGGUUAUUUGAGCGGGGUUGCGAUAGCGUGGGUUAUAUUAACUUGCACUUUUAUGAUGUUGUAGUGUUGAUGCCGACUACACGCUCUAAGUCUAUUAGAACGGACGAGGCGGCGACUUUUGAGGAAGCGGAGACAUCCGCUACCUCCCGAUCCAGUGAGGUUCGUGAGUUGAGGAGCCAACUUGCCGCCCUCACUGAUUUGGUGACGCAGCAGGCGGCGGCGGCCCAGCAGCAGGCGGACACGGCACGACGGCAGGAGGCACGGAUGCAGCGCCUGGAGGAUCUUCUAUUACAGCAGGCAGCUGUUAGGGAGGCUCAGGUCUCGGUACUACCCGCGCCAGUGGAGACAGUUGCGCCCGGGGGGUUGUCCCCUGUACUCGACACUUCGCAGACGACACUUACGGUAGCCCCUCGGGGGGAGGUAUUGGCAGCACCACCAGCUCAGGUGCCUGUGGCAGCGGCGACUUUUUCCUUGAUGGUUGAAAGAGCGGAGCGGCAGCGGCUCAUGGAUCGCCUCGAUGAGUUCCGGAGGUGCGAUCCCAGGAUCUUUGAUGGAGAGGAGGCCGACCACUGGAUCGUUGAGAAGUGGUUGAUGCAUAUGGAGAAGUUAUUCCGCGACACCUUCGUGGAGGAGAGAGAUAGAGUUUGGCUCGCCACUCACCAUUUGGACGGCGAGGCCUAUAGUUGGUGGGUGGGCAUCCAGGAUAAUCCCAACACCGACCUAGCAGCGAUUUCUUGGAAAAGAUUCAAGGAGCUCUUAUUGGAGCAUUACUUCCUCGUCCGCGUGAAGAGGAAAAUGGAGCAGGAUCUGCGCGAGAUGCGCCAGGGGGAUCAGACUGUGGCCGAGUACGAGAGGGAGUUCUCUCAGCUUCUACACUAUGCGCCCUUUGUUGUACGGGAUGACGAGGAUAAGGCUCGCACCUUCGAGCGAGGACUUCGGCCGUCGAUUUUACGGUUGGUGCAACCCUUCCACCUUCAGACUUACCAAGAUGUGGUGAACCGCGCUCUCAUCGUGGAAAGCUGCGCGGCAGAUUUGCAGGAGCGUCAAAAAGGCUCGAACAAAGGACAGGACAAGAAGCCCGCGACUGAGAGUGCGAAUCAGACGCACUCUGGGAGGCCGCCGAAACAUUCCAGGAACCGGAGCCAGUUGCGAGGACGUGGCUCAUCAGCACGGCAUAGAGGAUCCGAGCGUCGUCAGACGCUGAGCUGCGUGAUCUGCGGUGGUCGUCAUUACCCGCAGCAGUGCUCUCAGAGGCAGGGCAGGUGCUACUCGUGUGGCCAGGAGGGUCACUUCCAGUCAGACUGUCUGAGAGGUUUAGUAGCAGCGCCAUCUUCAGCAUCGGUACCAGUAUUACCGGAUCCCAGCCAGGGGACGCCUUUUUCUCACUAUCAGGCCGGGAGGCUACCCGUCCUGAGACAGACGGAGGGGUCACGACGGGCCCCGAGCGGGCGUAUGUAUGCGGCCCAGACUGAGAAGGCGGCAGCAGCCGAGUUUGUGAUUUCAGGUAUCAGUCCCUCUUGUGGCAUUUGAGUUGUGCAUUGUUUGCUAUUGGUGCAUUGCAUCUAUAUUCUGAUCGGCUAUUCGCCGAGUUGCAUGGCAUUUCGUUAGUUCGAUGUUUGCGACAUUGUGUAGCCCCUCGAGCUAGGCGAUUGAUUUGCGGGUUGCGGGUAGCAUAUUUUGCUAUGCUUGUAGAUCUCACGAGGAUUGCAUUAGUUGUAUCCCUGGCUCGGCUGUUUGCCGGAUGGUGCUUGGAGACGACCGUGCCUGGACCAUUUGGGGACUGUGGAGCCUGGGCCCGUUGGGCAGGCGCAGUCGGCUGUGUGUGACAGCGGCCCGGUACCUGUUGGUAGGGCAGAGUUUUGGUCAGGAUGGUAGUCCGAGCCUGGACCCUGGAGCGUGGAAAGCCACGUGUUGGAUCGUGAGAUCGAGGACACACUGAGUGUGUAGUUACCCAACCCGAGGAUUUGUUAGCGUUGAGCCUUUUGGCGCGUGUGGAUGAUCGGUUGAUCGGGUGUGUCGUUUCGAACGCCCUACCCCGUGAGAUGGUUCUGUGUGCCAACAAAUAGAUUGGCCUUCCUUGGUGUGGAAUUGUUGUGGGUACCUGGUACCCUUGGAUUGCGAGCUGACUUGACUCGCUUUGAGGACUGUGAGCACGAAAUAGUGCGAUUUGAGGAUUUACUUCCGCUAGAUGUGUUGAUUGUCUCCCUUACCUAAAAUUGGGUAAGUGUUGGAGAGGGUUUAGGGCCUGAGUGGCCAUUAGCUUUGGGUGGUCGAGAAUCCUUGAAAUAAAGGAUGUUCUUGAUCGGUCGUUGUGUCCCCGAUCGAGUCACUAAUAGUUAGCUCGAUUGGCGGGGAGGUUCUAUAGUUGGUGUUUUGCUUCGUGGAGGAGCAGUCUCACUUGUUGUGGGACCGGUUGGGCCGUUUCGACGGUAUGUCGACUAUCGUGAUUCAAAUUGAACCACGACUUGGUGUUUGGACAGCGUUGAGGCCCAAUGAUCUUGUCAAUUGGCCUUGAGUUGUUGGUGUACUCGAUAAGAUUGUAAGCAAUCUGAGUAGUGCCAUUUGAUGUUGGAGUUUGAGGUCACACCUCAAACGGGUCAUGAUGCUAGGUUGGAACCUCACAUGGAUGAUGUUGCCAAGACUGUAGUACUCCACCAGUGGAAGGGAUUUGCGGAAUGAUAAUCCCGAGCCGUGUGUGGAUUUGUGGACCAGUCGCGGAUGACUUGGGGUAUUUUUAUAGGAUGCGCGAGUUUAGACCGCAUGGGCAUGUUUGAAGCAAUCGAGUUGUGAAACUCUCACUGAUGGAUGGAGAUUCUGUGAGGGGGGAAUGUACCAAGUGCUGAUUUUUUCCCGUGUCUUGAGCUUGUACGAGGAUUUGAGCUCUUCGAGAUAGAACUGCAUAUGAGGACUUAUGGGAUUAAUUUUGGCUUGAUAGUCGCAUCAGAGUGACCUUGAUAGAGAGCUGUUAUCGAACCGUGGAUUGACCCUUCUCUAUUGCGUGAACUGAGCUCGAUGGCUACCGACACCUGGAGCUUCCGUGACUAGGGGAAAGCUUUGAGAUCGAAUCUCUAAGGGUUUGCUUGGACUUGAGUUCGGACUAAGAUAAUAAUCUUAGUGAUUUAAUGAAGCUUUUGAGCUUGGUCCGUGACCAUGUAUUGCGGAGAAUGGAGGGUACUCCCGAGUGGUGAGUUCGAGAUUGAUGUGGAGACAUCGUAGCGCAGUGCCGAAUGAGGAACCAAGUAAUCGCCAUGAUGGGCGAGUUUGGACGACCAGUUGAUUUCUGUUACUCUUGGGAAGUUGGCUACCGUGGUGGUGGAUUUGGAACCGUCCGUGCCCAGCAAGGUUGGACGGAUGAAUGGACGUUGUGAAUGGCAGUGGGAUGGAAAUUACACUGUACUUAAACUGGAUUGGAUUACGCUUAGUUAUGCCAUCUCGAGAAGAGACUUGAUUUAGGAUCAUUGUUGGAAUAUGAGCCGAUUAGCAGAUGUUGCAUCACCUCUCCUCGGUGAGCGUUGAUCUGAUGAGCACUUCGAUGGUGUUUGGAUAGAUGAGUAAAGGAUUUAACCCCCAUAUGCUUGCUUUGGACAGUGCCUUUGAAUCCACCUUAAGGGGCGUUUGGAUGUAAUCCUAUAUACCAGAGUAUUUGAAGCAGAGCAAGGCUUUACCCCCGACUUGGGCGAGAUAGGUGAGAAUUGGAAUUCAGCUUUCGGAAACACUUGAUUCCUGAGAACCGAUUGGAGGACUUGAAAUCAAGCGCGGAUUGAAGAUGGAACUUUCGGUGAAGACUUGAGUUCAAGGAGCUUAUGCGGAAGUUUGGGUUGUGUUAUGCCAAAGCCUUGGCGUCGCGAGAUCUUGUUGUGUUUGCGCCUUGGAGUUUUCCGGCACACCUGUGACCAUCAUGGUCUGUUUGGGGAGCUGCUGGAGCGCUUCUUCCAUCAUCUUCGGAUGGGUUUGUUGUGUGGUUGACCCGCAGUUUCGCGGACGAAACUCCUUUUUAGGAGGGGAGAAUGUAACACACUGGACCUUUGCAAAUUGCGAGGUUCGAGUGUUUGGAUUGUGUCCUGAGCUUUUCCAGAUUUUCUGGUGGAUCGUUGACAGUGUUCCGACCUAUGGUUCGAAUCCCGAGAAUUGUAGUAUUUUAUGUAGCGCUAAGGUCACUAAAGAGUUGGACUUAGCCUACCGUCGGAUUGCAUUCUGCACGAGGUGUAACCGGUGACAGGUCGAUGGCUGUACCGGUACACAUUUUGUACCUGUACACUUCUGAUGGUUGUACCGGUACACUUGCGGCGAAUUUCGAACCCGAGCCUCGGGUUUGCAUUUUCGUAGGAUGUGUACCGGUACACUUUCCCGUGUACCGGUACACUUUGGCAGUUUUCGAACAGUUCGAACUGCAGGGGUGUUUUUGCAUUGUUGCACCUCUAUAUGAUACCCCACGCCUCCCCUUUGGUUUCCUGAGCCCAGAACUCAGAGGAAACAGGUGAGAGAGCUCCUCCUUGCCUCAUUUUGGAUUUCAUCUUCCUUUUUCUUGGUUUUUAGGUGGUUUUUGCUCUCUUUUGCCUUUUAGAGCAUUUCCCACCAUUGUUGGAGGCUUGGAUCUUGGAGAGGAGCUCAUUGGAGAGGAGAACUUCAACCCUAGUUGGUUUGGGGCCUUGUUGGGAGCUUCUUAAGAGGUUAGAUGCUUGUUCUCUCCUCUUGAUUUGUAUUUUGAUGGUGGAUUUGAGAUGAAACCCUAGAAUGUGAGUUUAGGGUUGAUUUUGGGCAUUUUGAUUCUUGGGCCUUUUGAGCUAAAUUGAUUGGAUUAGAACCUUUAUCUAGGUUGCAUUGGAAGGGAUCUAGCUUCCAUUUGGAGCUUAAAAGGGAUUUUCUACACUUAGGUGAGAUUUUAGCCCUUUUUGCCUUGAUGGUUAAUGUUUGAGUUUCGGGUUGUUCGUUUCGUUUGGGUAACCCUCGUUUUGAUGCUUCUAGGGUACUAGGAGUCUUGUGGGCACCUCCGUUCGGCGAAACGAAGGUUUCGAUUUUGGUGGGUUUGGCCUCACCUAGAUGAGAUAAACUUCUCAUAUGAGGGUUUUUAUUUAUCGUAAAGUGAAAACGCAUGCAUAUUCUUAUUGGAUAGAAUAUUUGAGAAUUUUAGAAUGCUUAAAUUGCACAUGUCAUAUACCAUGCAUAUUUGACCUCUAUAUAGUAGAGAGUCUUCAUGUUGGGCUAGGGGCCUAUGGUUAGCAUUCUUACGUUGAUUGAGAUCACGUUGCAUACGGUGCAUAUGGCAUAUAGAUUACACUCUUGGACUUAGAACGCAUGAUUUACAUGGUUGGACAUAUCGACAUUAAGUGACAUAGGCUAGAGUGUAUACAAAUAGUAAGCUAAUGUCAUAAAGCGGCAUUGGGCUUGGACUAGAUAUGGACUUAGCAAGCUAAUGUCAUAAAGCGGCAUUAGACUUGAUGGAUAUGUAAAUUGCAUGUGCAUGUUAUUACUAUGAGAAUUAUGCCAAGUUAAUAGUUGCAAUGGAAAGAACAUACAUGUAGCAAUAUGAGAACACGCUAGAGAGCAUGUGUACUAAUCUAUUAUUGAUAGAACAAGCUAACGUCUUAAAGAGACAUAGAAUGUGAAUUGAGCUUAGAUUAUAGCAAUGUUUAAGUGUCAUAAAGAGGCACUAAACAUAGUGAAUGUGGGAACUUCCCCUUGAGAUUUGGACUUAGUAAAGCUAAGGUCAUUGACAUCGAAAUUAUUGAACGGUUAAACCUUCACUUGAGGCAUAGACUAGACACUGGGGUUGCUAGUGUGCAUUUCCAUGUUAGAGACAUGAUGACUGUUGAGUUGCAUUUUCAUGUUGGAGACAUGACGAUUGGACUAUUGAGGUUUUGACCAUGCUUGCUUGCCAUUUGUGCUCAUACGCACAUGCUUGUGAGGGUCGCUCCCCACAAGCCGGCACUCCGGAGUUAGCCUACGCGACUUAUGUUCGCCCGUGCGGUAUCGAGUAGCCUACGGGGCCUGGAGGGAUAGACUCAUUCCUAGAGUGGGAAUGCUGGAGCUACCACUGGCACUUAGGCGGCACAAGCCGGACUACACCCGUGUAGAUCCUGAAUGAGAUUGAACCAGAAUACUAAACAACAAUUGACAAUCACUACUAGAUAGGUUAUAGUAGCUGAAUUUUCUUGACAUGCUAUGGGAUAGGGUUGGACUUUUGGGAUAUUUAGUGUACUUGACAUUAUCGCUUAUUGCAUUGUAGUACACCUUGCUGCCAGGAUAGUACAUACUAGAUAUGUAGUGGGCUCUGGAAUAUAUAUAUCACACUUUAUAGCAUUACUUGUUGCAUCACGACACAUUGUUUAAGUUUUGGGCAUAUUGGAUCAUGUAGAGUAGAUGUACUCCAUGUUGACAUUCAGAAUACUUGUGGCAUAGUAGAGUAGCAUUUUAAUUUCAUGCUUCAAUUACUGUUGAUAUUUUCUGUUAUCAUUAUUUGCUCGUUUGGGGCCUAGUGGUGCGAUUUGGUGCAGGUCAGUAAUUGCCCACUGGGAACUAUAAUUUAUAGUUCUCACGCCCCCUGUUUUAUGUUUUCUUUCAGAGCCUUCCACUCCGGGAGAGGCUCGGGAUCGCGGGAAAGGUUUCGCCUCGAGUUAGCUAUCGAGGGACUUGGUGAUAGGUGGCCCACCUCUCUUUUGUUUUCUUCUAGAGAGGUUGUGAGAGUUUUGUACCUGGUUAUAGAGACCAUCCUAUUUUUGUAUCUUGAGACUUAUGAUGUAUCAGUUUACUUUAUGCUUAGUAGUAUGAUCUUCUUUUGAUUCUACCUAAUGUUAGAACCUAGCUAUAUACUUGCUCUGAUAUCUCUAGUUGUAGAUCUUCUCUUGCUUUACUCUUCCGCUUUUGUGUAGACGCCUUAUAUGUGUAGACAUAUGGCGGGUCUGGGCGCGCACCGGGCGGGCCUAUGCCGGGUCCCGGGGCGUGACAGAGGUGCUGUCCGUUCGGCGUCUGUUCGACGUAUCCGAACUGGCCAAAUAGGAUUGAGUUCGGGGCGUGACAGCACGGCAUGUUCCUCUCCUACCGAGGGAUCCCUAACCGCGGGUGCACGGCAUGGUUCCUCUCCUAUCGGGCUGCUCGGUAUAUGGAUUGUAGGCUGAGGUGCACGGUAGGUUCCUCUCCUCAGGUCUAGAUACGAGCGGUAUUCCGCUGGUGAUUGACUCGAGGCUGAGUCGAAUGGUAUAGCUUGGCUAAGGUAAUACAUACCUUAGGAGCAGAUUGGAUGAGCUAUGGAUAGUGAAAUAGAAAGUAGAAAAGGUAGAGCUACUUGCAUGAUUUCAUUACCGCAUUUUUCUUGAGGAAAUAGCAUGAUUUAUUUCUUGCAUAAAAAUAUAUGUGUAUAUUUGUUGGACUAACGUGUUAUGUUGCCUCGUUUGGACCUGGUGGGUCGAGCUUUUUCCUUGGGUGGCCGUACCCACUAGGAAUCCCCAUUUUUGCAGGUCCUCACGUGAGUGGCGCCGUAGCGCGAGAAAAUGAUGUAGCUCUGUAGAUAGCGCCCUACCACUGAGACCAGAGAUAGAAAUACCCUAAGUCGGCAUAGCUUAGGGUAUAGGAAAGAAUGGAACGAACUGAAACAAUUUUAAUAAGGUUUAUUGUAUUUGGAAACAAAAAAUGUAAAUAUAAUGUAAUUUGAAAUUAUGACGAAUGCUUGUAAUAGCAUAGUUGUUUUAUAUUUUUGAUACCUUUCUUAUGCAAUCGAUGUAUGAAUACUGUUCCUAUUUGAAACCACUUGUAUUGUACUGUUUACGACGUUUAGGACGUACAAGGGAGAUUCUGUCCAUUCGGCGGUCUGUUGGUGUCACGCCCCGAGACCCAGCGGAAGCCCGCCCGGCGCGUGCCCAGACCCGCCAUAUGUCUAAAACAUAUAAGGCGUCUAAAACAAAACGAUAAAUAAGGCAAAAAGAGAGAAAACAUCUAGCUGUAUCAGAGCAAAGUGUAUCUAUGAGCUACAAUAAAAGAAAUGAACAUAAAGCCGAAAGUCCACUAGAUAAAAGCAUGAAGUAGUACAAAAAGAAUCCCAAAUACUACUAAACAUAAAAACAUGGGUGGUCUCUAUACAUGAUAACAAAACUCUCUCUCUCUCUCUCUCUCUCUCACAAAAACGAAAAAGAAGAGAGUGACCACUUAGGAGCAACAGCAAGCUCCGCUAUCUAGCUAUGCGACUCCCUUGCCGCGAUCCCGUACCUCCGCCGAUGCCGAAGGCUCUGAAAAGGAAACAUAGAAAUAGGGGCGUGAGAACUAUUAAAUAAUAGUUCCCAGUGGACAAUUACUGACUUCAGUGAAAUGUGCCACUAGGCCCGAAAGCUUCAAGAAGGGGGUCAGUGUAUAAGUAUAAACAAAAGCGAUAAGUACAACUAAUAAAUAAACAUGAAUAUCUGCUACCACAAGAUAUUUCUACUUAGCAUGAUUUUGCUCAAGUAAUAAAAAUGCUACACUAGCAUGAAUGUGCCAAAUCAUCACUAGUAUGAUGUCCAUAAGCUAAUUAGUAAAGAUGUCAUUGUUUACUAUUCUAGUCAAUGUCCACAUGGCAUGAUAAAUGCUCCAAGUCAAAUCUGAAGAGACCCGCCCGAAGGCUGUCUGGCCCUGAGACCCACCCGUAGGCUGUUUGGCCGGUGCCGAGCCUAAUGGCCCCAUGGUAGUCAACAUCCCUACUCUAGGAAUGAGCCUUUUCCACGGCAAUCCACUUCGGCGUCCAAUCCCGCACGGCGAAUAGGUAUCGCGAUGGCCAUCUCCGGAGUGCCGGCUUGUAGGGAGCGACCCUCACAAGCAUGUGCGAAUGAGCACAAUGGUAAGUAACGUAAGAUCCGUCUCAAGUACCAAGUCCUCAUGUCUAACAACAUGGAAUAUGUCACAUAUCUCAAUGGCCUAUCUCUAAGUCAUCAUGUCUAAACAUGAAAGUAAUAGAUAUCAAAGGCCUAUCACUAUGUCUCAUUAUAGCAGUUUCAUAGUUACUAAGUCAAGUGCCCCUUUAUGACACUUUAAUCGCUAAGUCCAAUCAUAGUGUAGUGUUUACAAUUACACAGUUAUGAGUUAACUUUAACAUAAGGGACAUGAUUCCCAUUACUAUCUCGAACACUUUUCACAUGCAUGAAAAUUACCCAGUAUGCUCUACUAUAUAGAGUGAAAUUUAUUUUACACAUAGCACAUGCAUUUUAAGUGUUCUAAAAUUCACAUAAAUCCUAUCUAGCAUGGAUUUGCAUUCAAAUUGACGUUACGACAAGUAUAGAAUACAUAGGGGCCAUUUCGCCCCGAUUUCAUGAAGUCAAACCCACCACAACUCUUGCAACUCUUCGUAAGCUCCGACAAAGAUGCCUACUAGUCUCUUAGCACCCUAAAGAUGUAGGAACAAGAGUCAAACGAACCUUACGAACAAUACUAAGCUCAAUCUUUAACCAUCUAGGUAUAGAGGGCAUAACUCACCUCUUGUGUAGAAAUCCCUUCUCAAGCUUCCAAAAAGAGCGAGAACCCUUCCAAACCAACCUAGAGGAAGGUUCUAAACCAAUCAAUUGGGUCCCAAAGCCCUCAAAUCAAAAAUCCCCAAAAUAAAUCCUAAAAUCCAAAUCUAGGGUUUCAUUUAGUUUAAAGCUUCAAAACUAGGAUCUAGAGGAAGAAAACUAGCCACUUACCUCUAAAAUGCUCUAAACCAAGCUCAAAAUCCUCAAGGGUUGAAGAUUGAUCCUCCACAAGGCUCCAGCCACCAACUCCAAGCCACCAAAGGUGAGGAACUAGGGAGAGGAAGAUGCUCCAAGGCCUCCAAGCUUGCUCUCCUUCUACUUCUUCUUCUUCUCCUUCUUCUUCUCUUUCUAGAGAGUGUAGAGAGAGUGUGAAGGAGAGAAAUGAGGGUGAGAGGGAGAGGAAGUGACCUAUAAGCCCUCUUAAGCAACAAAAUCCACAUAGGCCCCUCAACAAUGCAACCUGUGCACUAUCCUGACUGGACCAUUUUCGGGCUGAGGGACUGGUCUCCCCGCACCUGGGACCGGUCUCUCGGACCCUCCCGCAAAACACACGUUCGAAAACCGGUCUCUCCUCGCAUGGGACCGGUCUCUCCCUGCGAAAACACGCUCGGGGACCAGUCCCAUCCGCCAGGGACCGGUUGCCUCGCAGACUGCCGCAACACUGUUCCGAGAGGACCGGUCUCUCCUAUCAGGGACCGAUCCCCGAGAGUGAAAACUCUCAGGACUUGCCAAAACUCCAGAAAUCGAACUUUUAGGUCGCAAUACCAUCAACGAUCUUCCACCAAGUGUGAAAAUGUUCAGAAUCCAUAUCAAACACUCGAACCUCGCAAUUUGCACAGGUCCAGUGUGUUACAGUUGGCGUGCCCGAAUCCUACCAAAGUGGCGGAUUGUCGGGGCGUGAUAGUUUUCUCCCUUUUUCUCUCUAAGAUUUCUCUCCCAAACUCUCCUAGAUUUGGGUUUGAUCUUGUUUUCUCCUCCCUUUCCAUGGUGGCUUGCUUGGUGAACCCUAGAGGAAGGUUGGAAGUGAAGAAGGGAGCCUUGUUGAGGAUUAAACUCCAAUCCUAGCUCAAGAUAGCUUGAUUUGGAGAUUUCUUGAAGGUUAGUACUCAUCUUGCAAUAUCUAUUUAUAGAUUUUAUAAGAUUUAUAGAUGAAAACCUAAUUUUGCAGAAACUAGGGUUCAUUUUUGGGGGUUUUUGAUUUUGAGCUUUUGUGGUGGAAUUGAUGAGUGUAGAACACUUUUGUAGGUUGGAGUUGAAGCUCCAUUGGGUUGAUUUGAGCCUUGGACAGGUUUUACUUGAUCAAAGGUAAUUUUCACCUCUUUUUUUCUUUGAUGUUUGAUGAAUUUUGUAUGAUAUUCGUUCGAAGCUUGUAGCCCUCUUAGAAAUUCUUUUAGGGUGCUAGAACCUUGGUGGACAAUUUCGUUCGAAGGAACGAAAGGGUUCGAGUAUCCGGUGGGUUUGACCUCACCGAAAUGGGUGAACUCUCUCUAUGUCUUCAAUGAUGUCUUUAGACUUAAUUAGAUGCAUGUUCAUGCUAAAUAUGUGUCACGCCCCGCCCCGAAACCACUACCAUUUUGGCACGAUUCGGGCGCGGCGAGUGGACCGCUAAACGGACAGCACCCCUGUUCGCCCAAGGCUCACAACAAGAAUGUGUACAAGAAUUUCCCAGGAAUUUAAAUUCUAAACAUACACAUUCAACGGGGCACGAAUAGUGCCAGCAACUACAAGAGCAAGUAAUCCACAAGUAAAAACAAGUGAAAUAAAGAGAGUACUUUGCUAACUAUUACAAUAGUUCCCCCUUUUCAUUUACAUCAUUUUCUUUAAAUGAUUACAUCACUCAUCCAAAAUACAUAGCUCUCCAAAUCCUCACCUACAAUGAAUCUCUCUCAGUACAUAGGUGUGCUAAUGCAAAAAGGAAAGCUACUAUACUACCACGGUCUCACUGGUCGGGCGCGAUGCCCUUGCCGCGGUCCUCUCUCGGCAACCCUAUACCUACCACUAGAAAUAGAGUGGGGUGAGAACUAUCUUCCAUAGUUCCCAGUGGGCUCGGCCGCCGACUUUGCCGAUCUCCCCACUAGGUCCAAGUGGGCACAAGCAACAACAGAUAGAUAGAUAGAUAGAUAUCUGAAAGCUGUAAAUGCAAUAGUAGGAAAACUAUGCUACUAUGCCUAUAAUCAUAUGUAAUGAAUGGAUGCAUUAUACAGCAAGGGUUUACUAUCAUGCUAACAAAUUCGAUCCAUGUUCGAAUAAUAAUGUUCAAUAACAUUGUUCACUAUUUUUUUACCCAAUCUGUGGCUAAGCCCUCGGAUUCGCCAAUAACUCACCUUUCAAUCCCAAAGUGGGGAGGGAGCUCCAAGUGCACCCAAGCCCGGGACAGUCUGCGGACCUCCAUGUGGUCCGGACCUCCAAGUGGUCCUAGUCGCACGACACUCCGGAGUACUCGACGACAAUCCCCUCCAUGUGGGGAUAGGGAUGGCUAUACCAUCCCAAAAGAAGACUGUGAGCUAGAUCUAUCCUCUCCAAGUGAGGAUACCCUACAACUAGGGUCAACAACCCAAUCAAAUCCUCUCCAAGUAAGGAUGCUCUACAACUAGAGUCAACAACCGAAUCGAAUCCUCUCCAAGUGAGGAUGCCCUACGACAAGGGUCAAUGUCUAAAUAACUCAUCAACAACCUCUCCAUACAAGGGUACUUAAGGAAUGGAGCCACUAUGCAAUCCUACAAUGCAACAUGUAAGAGAUGAGAUUAAAUGCAAUCUAAGACAUAGAAAGAAGUUCGAAAGCUUUGGGAUGGCACCCCCCACCUUUUACCGAUGUAGAGGCUUUAAAAACGCUCCUCGGCGAACCUUACGACGAGGUCUCGGCCUUCUUGGUCCAAGACAAGGCUAGAUCGACCGUAUUUCGCCGAUAGCUCCCAAUCCGCUCGACGAAUCGCGAAAUCGACUUCGCCUCCGCGUUUUGUGACCUACUAAUUAGGUUUACAAGGCCUCAAAUGAGAUCAAUCUCAUACUUUACCAAAAACCCCAUUUUGGGUGCCCUAGGGUUCCCAUCUUGCCAUUUGCAAUUUGGAACCCUAACUCUAGCUUUGAUCCAACCAACAAUGGUGCUAGGGGUCUAUUUGACCCCAUUUCCAAAGCUCAAAACCCAAAAAUCCUAAGUUCUACAAGCUAGGGUUUGUAGCUUACCUCUUGGGCUACACCAAUGGGAAGAGGAGAGGGAGAGGGAGAUGUUUAAAGCCUUCUCCUUGAUCUCCUUCUUCUUCUUCUUCUUUUUCUUCUUCUCCUUUUCCUUCCUCUCCUUUUUGUUCUUCUUCUCUUUCUAGAGAGAGAGAGAGGGGGAAAUGAGGGUGAUGGAGUGAGGGGAAUGAGAGAAAGAGAGAGAGAGGCCUUUCCCUUAACCCCUCUCAUGGUCAUUUUGCACUUAAACCCCUCAACUUUCUAUCCCUUACGUAGCCCUCACUGGGCAAAAUUCGCGCGGAGGGACCGGUUUCCCCGACUUGGGAUCAGUCACCGAGAGCCUCCCUCGGGCGCACGCGUUCGGGAACCGGUCUCUCCCCGAGAGACCGGUCCUCGGGAGACCGGUCAUCGCCUGAGAGACCGGUCCUCGAGAGCUUGAUUUUCAGGACUUAGCCAAAUUUCGGCAUUUCUCGCUGGGACCACGUUCGGGGACCGGUCCCUCCCUGCUAGGGACUGGUUGCAUCAAGCAACCCCGCUACACCCAGCCGAUGGAACCGGUAUCUCACCUCCAGAGACCGGUCCCCGAGAGUAACAUCAGCCCAAUGAUGCAGUUUGCACCAUUUGCUCUCGUGGACUCAACUCCAAGGCACUCUUUGUGCUUUGGACAUCUCUAACUUCCCCAAAGGGUAUUCUCUCGACAAAUAGUCGAUCCUGCACGAAGUACAACUCUCGGAUUUCGAGAAUUCGUUUCCUUAUAUCCUCCCUUCCUUAAAAGGAGUUUCGUCCUCGAAACUAAUCCAAUUCUUAACUUUAACUCAACCCAUACCUUACUCCUCACAUAGAUGAGGAUGGUGCUUUCUCAUCAGAUCCUCGAGUUCCCAGGUGGCCUCGAGAUCAUCAUGAUUACUCCACCGAACCUUUACAUAGGGAAUUUCUCGAUUUCUCAACCUUCGCACCUCUCGGGCGAUAAUCCCUACCGGAAACUCUUCAUAGCUCAAGUCCUGCGGUGGAAGCUCGGUGAGGCGUGCGAUGGACGGGUUAGUAUAGGGUAUAUAUAUAUAAUAAUAUAUGUGGAUAAGAUAUAUAUGUGUAUUUUAUACUAUAGUAUGUGUGAUAUAGCGGAUAUAUUGAUGCGUGGUAUAUACUGGUAUUAGUAAUAAGUUAUUAUUAGUGGCAGCCGGGCUGAUUAAUCGCGGGUCGUGAAAGAUAUACGUUGGCGGAGAUUGGAGACAUGAGACACAUUGUGUAUCAUCCGCAAGCUUCGGCAGCAAAGCAAGUCGGUAGGCCACCGUGCCGACUCGCUCCAAUAUUUCAUAUGGUCCAAUGUAUCGGGGACUUAGUUUUUCCCGCACUCCAAACCGCUUCACACCCUGCAUCGGUGAAACCUUCAAGAAUACGUGGUUGCCCACCGCGAACUCUAUAUCUCCUCGGCGCCUAUUUGCAUAGCUUUGUUGUCUCGACUGCGCCAUGAGCAAUCUCUUGCAAGCAAGGCGGACUUUCUCCUCCGCUUCUCGCAACACAUCAGGGCCGAACUCAGCCCGCUCUCCUACAUCGCUCCAAUGUAUAGGAGACCAACACGUCCGCCCGUAGAGAGCCUCGAACGGUGCCAUCUCCACACUAGCAUGAUAACUGUUGUUGUAGGCGAACUCGGCCAUAGGUAGGUGAUCACACCAACUUCCUUUAUAGUCGAUGACACACGCUCGCAGCAUAUCCUCCAGAGUUUGAAUCGUUCUCUCUAUUUGCCCAUCGGUCUGAGGAUGAAAUGCGGUGCUAAAAUCGAGCCGUGUGCCAAGGGCUUCCUGCAGGCUCUUCCAGAAGUGUGAAGUGAACCGAGGGUCACGAUCCGACACGAUCGAUUUCGGUACCCCAUGCAGUCUCACUAUCUCGUCGAGCGCUAACUUGUCACCCGACCACGUGGUGUGGAUCGGCAAGAAGUGAGCCGACUUCGUCAAUCGGUCUACAAUUACCCAAAUUGCAUCGUGGCCGCCCGUUGAGCGAGGCAAGCCGACCACAAAGUCCAUCGAUAUAUUCUCCCACUUCCAAACGGGGAUUGGUAGGCUUUGAAGCUUUCCCGCUGGAAAUCGACGCUCGGCCUUUACUUGUUGGCAUGUUAGGCACAUUGCCACAAAGCGUCCAAUAUCACUCUUCAUUCCCGGCCACCAGUAGUGCAUUUUUAGCCCUUGAUACAUCUUGGUGCCGCCCGGGUGAUCGGCAUAUAGAGAUCGAUGUGCUUCCUUUAGAAUCAAUUCGCGAAGCUCUCCAUCUUUCGGCACACACCAUCGGUUUCGAAACCGAAGCGUAUCAUCGGCAUCUACAUUGAAAUCGCCACCAUGCCCUUUCUCGAUGUUUCGCCGCACCUUUUGGAGUUCUGGGUCUGCAGGUUGCAGAUCUUUGAUCCUCUCCAACAAGGUCGGUUGGAUAACGAGUGCCAUCAACUGAGCUGGAGUCUCGGGAGUAACUACUUCGAGGUCCAGUCGCUCCAUCUCCAACAAUAGGGGUGAUUGAUUCGUAACCCACAUGGCAAGAUUUUUCGCUGACUUCCUACUCAGCGCAUCCGCGACCACAUUUGCCUUCCCGGGGUGGUAGAUGAUAUCAACAUCAUAAUCCUUUAAUAGCUCCAACCACCGCCGCUGACGCAUAUUGAUCUCCUUCUGUGUGAACAGGUACUUCAAGCUCUUGUGGUCGGUAUAGAUCUCACAAUGGGCACCAUAUAAGUAGUGCCUCCACAGCUUCAAGGCGAAAAUUACCGCCGCUAGCCCCUAAUCAUGGAUGGGGUAGUUCUUCUCAUAGCUCUUUAGCUGACGGGAUGCAUAGGCAAUUACCUUCCCGUUUUGCAUCAGUACACACCCCAAUCCAAGAUAGAAGGCAUCGCUGUAGACCACGAAGUCUCCACCCUGCACUGGUAGAGCGAGCACCGGAGUCGAAGUCAAUCUUUGCUUCAACUCUUUGAAACUCCGGUCGCACUCUUCGCUCCAAAUAAACUUGGUGCCCUUCUAGGUCAGACGGGUAAGUGGAGUCACUAUCUUGGAAAAGCCUUCCACAAACCGUCUAUAAUAGCCUGCCAAGCCCACGAAGCUUCGAACCUCUGUGACAUUCGUCUGGCGCGGCCAAUCCUUGAUUGCCUCAACUUUCCUCGGGUCUACAGAAACUCCACCCGCGGAAAUCACAUGCCCUAGAAAUGCAACUUCUCAGAGCCAGAAGUCACACUUCUUCAGCUUAGCAUAUAGCUUCUCCUCCCGAAGGACUUGAAGCACUAUUCUCAAAUGCUCGGCAUGUUCCUCAUCACUACGAGAAUAGACCAAUAUGUCGUCUAUGAAAAUCACAACAAAUCGGUCCAAAUACUCUCUGAAGACACGGUUCAUCAAAUCCAUGAAUGCCGCUGGAGCAUUCGUGAGUCCAAAUGGCAUGACCGUGAAUUCGUAGUGUCCAUACCGCGUGCGAAACACUGUCUUCUGUACAUCCUCCAGCUUGAUUUUCAACUGGUGAUAGCCGGAUUGCAAGUCUAUCUUCGAGUACACACACGACUCCUACAACUGGUCGAACAAGUCAUCGAUUCGGGGUAGUAGGUACUUGUUCUUGAUCGUGACUCUGUUCAAUUCUCGAUAAUCCACGCAGAGUCGGAACGAUCCGUCCUUCUUCCGUACAAACAACACCGGGGCUCCCCACGGUGAUACACUUGGCCGGUUAAAUUGCUUGUCGAGGAGGUCUUGCAAUUGACUCCUCAACUCCUUCAGUUCCGCCGGCGCCA